GCGGUGGCGUUGGUAGCGGUGGUAGCCCCAUCAGCGUGUCUGAGGCUGUAGGCUACCUGGCCGGAGGCUACGUCAGAGACAAGGAACACGACCCCUACGCCAGACACGCCUUCAAUGUGCGUGUCUCCAACUCACUGCCCAACGACAGGUCGCUGCCUGACACCCGUCAUCCCAGGUGUGACCAGGUGGACUAUGAUGACGAAGACCUCCCUACUCUCUCUGUGGUGAUCACCUUCCAUAAUGAGGCCAGGUCUGCCCUCCUCCGCACCGUCGUUAGUGUGCUGAACCGGACCCCCGAGGACUUGCUGGAGGAUAUCAUCUUGGUGGACGACGCUAGUGAUAAUUCCUCGGAUGGUCUGUUGCUGUCUGGUCUACCCAAGGUGCGAGUCUUGAGGAAUGAACAACGACAAGGUG